AAACUUGUAAUUUUAUAUAACAUGUAAAAUAACUUGCUAUCAGUAAUAUGAGAUAUCCACCCUCCCGCUCGGUAAUAUUUUCGAAAUAUUCUUGCACUAUUUGUAAUGUUACAUUACUGACCAGAUUAUAAACUGAAUGAACCAUACAAAGUAAUCCUAACAGAAUUGCAUAUAAUCUUGGCAGAAUAAUCCGAACUAAACACGUGCUCAUUAUUAUGCUAUUAGCUGCACAUCCCCUCUUUAUAGGUUGUUUUAUUUUAGGCUAAAAUACAGAAAAUUUUCUUUAAAUAUUUGCUCUUACACUUUACUCUCUUGUCCUCUAAAAAUAUUUAUUUUCUUUCUUAAAAAUUUAAACUUGUAGUCCUUACCCUUGCACUAUUACUAUUUU
rnacentral:lncRNA from 1 species